CCUACUGGGGGCAGCAGUGGGGAAUAUUGGACAAUGGGGGCAACCCUGAUCCAGCCAUGCCGCGUGUGUGAAGAAGGCCCUCGGGUUGUAAAGCACUUUCAGUGAGGAAGAACGCCUGGUGGUUAAUAUCCAUCAGGAAAGACAUCACUCACAGAAGAAGCACCGGCUAACUCCGUGCCAGCAGCCGCGGUAAUACGGAGGGUGCGAGCGUUAAUCGGAAUUACUGGGCGUAAAGCGCGCGUAGGUGGCUUGAUAAGCCGGUUGUGAAAGCCCCGGGCUCAACCUGGGAACGGCAUCCGGAACUGUCAAGCUAGAGUGCAGGAGAGGAAGGUAGAAUUCCCGGUGUAGCGGUGAAAUGCGUAGAGAUCGGGAGGAAUACCAGUGGCGAAGGCGGCCUUCUGGACUGACACUGACACUGAGGUGCGAAAGCGUGGGUAGCAAACAGGAUUAGAUACCCUAGUAGUC
rnacentral:rRNA from 1 species